CAAUAGCGUAUAUUAAAGUUGUUGCAGUUAAAAAGCUCGUAGUCGGAUUUCGGGUCGGGCCGAGCGGUCUGCCGAUGGGUAUGCACUGUUUGGCGCGGCCUUCUUUCCGGAGACCGCGGCUACUCUUAACUGAGCGGGCGUGGGAGACGGAUCGUUUACUUUGAAAAAUCAGAGUGUUUCUAGCAGGCAGCUCGCUCUUGCAUAGGUUAGCAUGGGAUAAUUUAAUAGGACUCUGGUGCUAUUUUGUUGGUUUCGAACACCGGAGUAAUGAUUAACAGGGACAGUUGGGGCCGUUUAUAUUUCGUUGUCAGAGGUGAAAUUCUUGGAUUUACGAAAGAUAAACUUCUGCGAAAGCAUUCGGCAAGGAUGUUUUCAUUGAUCAAGAACGAAAGUUAGGGGAUCGAAGACGAUUAGAUACCAU
rnacentral:rRNA from 1 species